AUCGCUUCUCGGCCUUUUGGCUAAGAUCAAGUAUAAUGAUACAGGCAUAAAAAGAUUAAACAGUGUUUUCCAUGCAGGUUUAGUAAUUAAGUUAUUCAUGGCUACAGACUUUAACCUUUCUUGUACCAGUGAAGUCCCA
rnacentral:snRNA from 1 species